GCCUUGUCUCUUGUGGUGCGCGCGCCCUUGCCUGCUUAACCAUCACUACCCCGUAGCGCACACCCGCCCACACUUCCCACCCACAGACACGCGAGCACAAAGGUACACGCAUACGCCUCCCAAGUCGUGAUGCUCGCUGGGCUGCUGCGUGGCACUCGCGCAGCGAUGGCGCUGCAGCGGUCGCGCCGCAGUUUUCUACCUCGAAUGCGGCAACGCUCGUCCUUCUCUACCGUCUCCUCCGCUGCCAUGUUCGAGAAUACCCUCACCACACAGCGGGCGCAGAAGGGCGACUACGGCUUCAACGUGUUUCACAACUCCAACCCGCAGCACGGCGGCAGCUACGCCCGACACGAGCGACGCAUGCGCGAGGACGAAGUGGAGGACUUCUUGAAAUCUGUCAAGCACUGGCGGCCUGUGUACGAGGAUGUGGCUGACGGUGAUCUCGUGGGUGACGCGCAGUCGUCGUCGUCGACCUCGGCCUCUGCCGCGGAGCCGCCGAUGCCGAGGCUCGCGCGCAUGGGCGAAGAGGCCAUCAUGCGCACCUUUCAUUUCGAAACGUUCCGCGAGGCUUACCUUUUCAUGGGCCGGGUGUGGGCCUUCUGCUACGGCAGCGACAAGUACCCGCAUGUCACGUGGGAGGGGACCGCCAUCACGGUUUAUCUCUACUCACCAUCCUUCCGAGGCCUCAGCAAGCGCGAGGCGCGCGUGGCGGCGUUCCUGAACGAUCAGUACAACAUGCUUCGGAAGAGCAAGUGGCAGCAACGCCGCAUCGUGGACGGCAUUGUGCGACAGACCGCUGUGGAAGAGCUGCUCGGUGAGGAGGUGGCGGCGCAUCUUGCGCGCCGGGAGGCGCUGCGCACAGCGCCACUGCAGGAGGUGAAGGAUGGGCCGCGCAGUUGGCGCAGCGCCAUCGGGUCACCGUUGCGCAGCCCCAACAGCGGCAGCGAUGGAGCAGGUAGUUCCAUGGGAGUGCGUGACAGUUAACAAAAAAGGAUGAUGACCCGCACACUCCGCGUCGGGGUUCGCUUGCUUCUGUCUGUCCUCCCUCCGCCAUAGUGCGGAGUGCAUUCCACACGAGAUUGCCCACCGUUUCGCUCGUACUCUCCCUGUGCCACCCUUCGUCUCGCUCCGCGCCGCAGGAACGCUCGUCCCUCUCCUUCCUCCAUCGUUUGCAAGAGAGUGUUCUGGCGCACUUUCAAAAUACAUUCCUGUGCCUUUUCUGGGUGCGUCGUCAUCACGUUGACGCACCAAGAAGAGCCACUUGGAUGCGAACAGAACGGCAUGACGCCUUUGCAUACCCAUACAACACUCAUGGUGUGCGUCUAUGCGUGCAUGCGUGUGUGUGUGUGUGUGUGUGCCUUGGCUCCGUGGGGCUUUUCCUCGCCCAGGCAAACCGCUGUCGCUGCCGUGCCCCCGUUGCACCCUCCUCAAGCCUCUCUCCCCUCUCUAGCCGGUUUUCCGCUGCGGUUUUUCUUUUCUGCCUGCCUCUCUCGUCACCUGCCCAG
rnacentral:misc_RNA from 1 species